rnacentral:rRNA from 1 species
GAUGAACGCUAGCGGCAGGCCUAACACAUGCAAGUCGAGGGGCAGCACGUAAAGUACUUCGGUACUUUUGGUGGCGACCGGCGCACGGGUGCGUAACGCGUAUGCAACCUACCUAUAACAGGGGGAUAACGCUGGGAAACUGGCACUAAUACCCCAUAACAUUAUGAACGGCAUCGUUUAUAGUUGAAAACUCCGGUGGUUAUAGAUGGGCAUGCGUUGUAUUAGUUAGUUGGUGAGGUAACGGCUCACCAAGACUACGAUACAUAGGGGGACUGAGAGGUUAACCCCCCACACUGGUACUGAGACACGGACCAGACUCCUACGGGAGGCAGCAGUGAGGAAUAUUGGUCAAUGGACGCAAGUCUGAACCAGCCAUGCCGCGUGCAGGAAGACGGCUCUACGAGUUGUAAACUGCUUUUGCAGAAGGGUAAACCCGGAUACGUGUAUCCGGCUGAAAGUACUCUGCGAAUAAGGAUCGGCUAACUCCGUGCCAGCAGCCGCAGUAAAAC